rnacentral:rRNA from 1 species
CGAGUUCAAUAUGUCUAAAUGACUCUCGGCAACGGAUAUCUCGGCUCUCGCAUCGAUGAAGAACGUAGCAAAAUGCGAUACGUGGUGUGAAUUGCAGAAUUCCGUGAACCAUCGAGUUUUUGAACGCAAGUUGCCCCCGAUGUCAUUCGGCUGA